GUCCUCGUAGCUCAGUUGGUUAGAGCGUUGGCUCAACUAAAGCGUUCCCCUUGGUGGUGUGGGUUCAAAUCCCACCGAGGCCA
rnacentral:tRNA from 1 species